rnacentral:lncRNA from 1 species
CUGCCGGCUGCGGGCCGGCACCGGAAGUGAAGCGUUUUGAGCUGCCACGUCCGAGGCCGUGGGUCGCCGCUGCUGCAGCUAUGGUAAGUGUCGCGAUCCCUGCGAUAGUCGUGGCUUUGAGACAGACCACCUCUACGUCCUCAAAGUUUGCUUGUCCUGCCUCUCUCUGGGUCUCGGAGCGGGAAUUUAAGGCAAGGCCACUGGGCCUUCCGGAACUCAUAGGCCCGGGCUGCGAGCCCACCUCCUGCCCGUCUCGUGUCUUGUCCUCCAGAAUUGGAAAAACAGCCAAAGCUAUCAUAGGAUCUACUGCCUGACAAGCCCUUAGUGCGUUCCCACGAUCGCUCACAUCCUCUGCCUGCGCGUAGCCUGCGGAGCAGAUGCUACUAUCAUCAACACUUGGGCUAGGCAGUGGCAAGCUAAGAUCCAAAUUCUCCUCAUCAUUCGCCCUGCCACCCACUACCUCAGCAAAGGAGGUGGAGGGAUCAGUUGCUUGGACACAGGACUCCCAUGUGUGAUGGUCCCUUCGGGAAACUGAUGACAGGCCUAGCUGAGUGACUCCAGGGCAUCGUCUCAGCUUUUUAUUUCUGUUUCUUAUUUUUGAAUUUACAUGGCCUCUGUGGUAUGUCUUUCACCGCACCCCACUCCGUAUAAUACUAAGGGAAUGAAACUCUGGAAGUCUUAGACCCUGGUUGGCGCAGCGGUGCAAGGAGCUGCCUCCUUCUGUUGGCCUUUGGCUCUUUUGUUGCCAAGUUGGAGACUCAUACACAGGUUCAUUCUAAGUUUGUACCUGGUGUGAUUCUGAUGAGCUGAACUGUUUUGAGUGCAGCUUCUUACUGUGUUCCAGCAAGCGCAUAAGUGUCCUUAUAAGAUGCUCCGGAGGACUGCUCCAAGAGCUUUAAAAUACAUAGCAUCCCAAAGUGUGGAUCAUAACCCAUGGCUGCUGGUUAAGAAUGGUCAUAAGGAUGCCAGCUUUCCAAAGUCCUGUGGGUCACCAAUAGAAAAUUACUUUUCCUUGAGCCAGUUGGGAUUGUGGGGAAUUCUUGGUCACAUCACCCACCUUAUAUUGGUGUGUGUUGGGGGAGGGGGUUAGAGGAUUAGUAGAUAAGAUUGUUGCCAGCAGUGUGGUUUUGGUAAGGGUGUUUUCUUCACUGCCACCUUAAAUUGAUUAGUUUUUCUGUUGACUAUAAUUGAUUGCUCCUGGUGCCUCUCCAAUGCUCACGGGAAAAUGUCAUUGUCUCCAGGCAGGUGCUGCUCCUCUUUCUCUAAUCUUUGCCGACACUUUUCAGAGCAUUUAAGAUUCUCAAGGAAACACACUUACUUAUUCAGUGUGUGCCUUCUGAAUGCCUUGCCGCCGUACUCUCCCAGGGUCUACCUUUCUGAAAAAAUAGCCCAGGCUGUUGGAGAAUUCUUGAUCCACCCUCUUGAUCCUCCAGAGUGUUAAGGAUCUGCAACACCACACCUGCCUUGAGGAGUCAGGCUUUGUAAUUGCAAAGUUUGCACUGGGAAAGGUGACUUGUUGGAAAUGGUGAGAAAUGUCAGUCUCAAAUGGAAGCUACCUUUUCAAUCCACUUUUCUCUCCCAAGAAUUUAAUAGUGGAUG